rfam:Branchiostoma floridae genomic scaffold BRAFLscaffold_149, whole genome shotgun sequence.
GAACAGUUUGUUGAUGAUGUAAGCUGUGUACUGAUGAACACUGAAGAUUUCUCUACACUUCGUCACUACCACUGAAACAAACUGUUG